UCUAUUCUAUUCUAUUCCAUUCUAUUCUAUUCUAUUCUAUCGUGGAUGGAUGGAUCUCCCAGGGUGCCACCGUGCAGCAGCAGCACAGCGUAGGUGGCGGUGCCGCCUCUUUUUACCGUUUGCCUUUUCAGUUCUUGAUGGGCGCACACACACAGACACACAAAUCGUGCAUCCGAAGCCGUCGCGGCCAUGUAUCUUCUUCCUUGUAUCGCGCCCAAGGCUGCCCGACGUCGCAGACAGCCAUUCAUGUCAAUCUAGGAGACGUUGGGUGUUUGCAGAGCCAGAGUGAUGGCGCCCGCAAUCAGCUUCCCUUUCUCUCGUUUCCUUGGAACGGAGCGGCCGGGGGUCAGUCCCUCCAUCAUGCGCAGCAAAAGAACCCAAUCCCCCAAGCUAGCCAGCCAGAUCCACCACGGAAUGUAGCCGUGUCUCCCUAACUAAUUCCGACCUGAUGCCUACUCUGAGAUGUGGUGGUGGGUGGGUCGUGGCCUCGUGGGGGGCGAAGGCGAAGGCGAAGGCGAAGGACGGAGAACUAAACCGAGCCACCAUGCUGCCGUGCAUGCGGAUGCGUCCAUGCCGAGGCGACAGGACAGGGCCGCUGGCUCACCUGAACAAAACCCACACACCUCGCUGUCGGUGUCGUCCGCUUGCGUUUGCGUGGAUCUUCUUGCUCGUCGCUCUCGUGGUCACGUCGUCUACCAACAUGCACCUGCCUCUGCCUGUCCAAGGAAAAAUUAAAUAAAUGCGAUGCAACGCCAUUCGAUCCCCAUCUCUCUCUCGGUCUCUCCAUAGCCUAGGACGAGCGGGUACUUCUCUCCGUAUCAUUGGACUCGUCAACCCAGACCCAGAGACGAUUCAGAGUCUGCUCCGCCUAUGGCAACAGUGAGGUGAGUAGUACUAUCUUAAUCUGGUUGCUAUGUAGGCAAGUGGUGGAAACUACAAAAAACAAAACAAAAAACAAAACAAAAACUUGCACUGCCAACGACAUCAGGCUAUAUAUAUCCAACCAAAGGACGAAGGGGGGAUGAACUCUCUUUCUUAACAGCGACAUUUGUUAGGGAGCAAAACGGAGGAGCGAUUACUCCAUUAACAAAACAAAAAACACCCAGCCAAACAGGGGCGCGACGCAGAGCAUUAAGAUCAUGGAUGGAUUCAGCACAGUAGGUUGUAGUAGUACUAGUAUACAAGAACAUAAAAGCACCACCACUGUACUAGCUAGUACUCCAGCAUGAUUCAAGCUGGUCUUUCUGUCUCGGGGCCACACAGAAAAGCUCUUUUUAAGUCGCGCAGAUUUACAAAUGACUGGGUGGGUGAUGGCUACAGCUUUUUUUGCUACAACAAACUCCCAAUCCCAUCCAGUUUGAGAUGUUCUAGGGAGGCAGAAACACGCUAGUGUGAUCGAGUUCCGCAACCCAUAUGCUACAUACUAGUACUGUAUUAUUAUCAUAAUAAUAGCUCUUACCUCCGUCAAGGGAAGAAAAUACUAAGCUCUGGAUCUCCCACCCACGGGAUCCGACUAUCAUCAUGCCAUGCACAAUGGUUGCAUCACUUCUUUGACGGGACGCGUGCAUGGCAUCAUCGUUCAAGAGCAGAGGGGUCUCGGCCCUGCAAUCUUUUGGCGCGAUCCAAGUCUUCCUCCCACGAUGGUGGAGAGGCGAGAAAGUUUUGUCGAGUCACAAUUCCUUGUGUACACCUCUAAAAAUAUAUCAUCUCUACGGCUCUAACCUUUAUGUCAUCAGCAACAAGAAAUGGUGGAAGGAGGACAGAUAGAUAGCAGCAGUACGGGAACAUAUCAACGGGCAACAACAAUGGUGGGCCGGGCCCGGGCGACGACGAGACGGGAUGCUUAGGAGGAGAGGAAGAACGCAUGGGCGGACUGCUAAUUCCCAACAAUUCUUGGACUCUAUGAGGUAUGAGACUGAGCCUUGCUCGAUUUGUAGGCCGAUUCUGUGGGGAGCAGCGGCCGGCGGGUUGCGCAGCAGAGAGGUGGAGAGGGCAGGAAGCAAACGAAUUUCGAAUUGUAUAUGUACCCGAGGGCGGAGGCGGCCGCCCGCCCGCCCGCGGUCCGAUGCCCAUCGCCGUCGUCGGUCGGAGCCCCCGGC
rnacentral:lncRNA from 1 species